rnacentral:lncRNA from 1 species
UUCAGAGCCAAGGGCAUCAGCUCCCCACCCCUCUGCCAAGCUAGAACGUUCCCAGGCCCAAUGCCUUGGGGAGGGGCUGGCAGAGUGGGACGAGGACAUUACCAGGCAGGUAUGGCAGGUCACGUGCAGGCCUUCCCAGGCUGGCAGGGACCGGAUGCAGGAGUGGCCUCACCCAGAGAGGAUGGCAUCCUGGGGACACAAGAGGCUGCAGGGGCCAUCUGGCCCCAGGUACCCGCCAAGAUUUUGGCAUUGGCAGCCUUGAAGCAGAUAGGGCCUGGGGAGAGGCCAGUGGGGCACAGAGUAGCCCAUCUGCUCCUGCCUCGCCCGACAGGAGAUGCGAAUUCCAAGAUGCCCCUGACCAAUCUCUGCAGCCCAGGCCAGGGUUCGGGCCCCUCCUCUCAGGGACCCUGUGCUCUGCACAGCCCCAAAUUGGAGCCAGUGCAGCUCAUGAUCCCCAGCUCCACGGUGCAGC